ACGGGCUGAACGCGAGCCACAGGGAGUGUGACACGACUGUGUGAGACCAGUUGGGUGACACGACCGUGCCUCUUUUAAACUCGUUUUAUUUUUAUUUUCUUUAUUUUUUAUUUAUUUUUGAAGACUCAUGUUUUAUAUUUUUAAACUCUACCUAUAUUUAUGGUAAUCAUCAAAUUAUUCCCUUAAUUCUCCUUCACAGUAGUGUCUUCUCAUUUAUUGUAAUGCCCAAAAAAUCCUAAAACCCAAAAAUCCUGAAAUCCCA
rnacentral:lncRNA from 1 species